CGAGAACGAACUGUUCGUCUUUGUUUCGUGUGCUACUCCACUUCCUGAAGAAUUGAUUUCUGAAGUCGUGGGCGAUCGGGGUUCAAGCUCAUUUAUGAUUAGCUGGUUCUUGUCAGAAGAGAUGAUAGAUAAUUGCAACUGCUCCGAGCUCAUCAGCAGGAGGGAAGCUUUUUCCAUUGCUAAAAGAAUUGUCUAUGAAAUCUGGUUCAAUUGCCUAAAUGGGCUCCCGCCAAUAGAAUGACCAGGCUAUCAUUGAGUAUGAAAGAUCAGGAGAGGCUGGCGAGAUUCCGACUGUGAAUUUCUUCGAAAGUACAGUGGGUACAUUGAAAUUACUGCCAAUACUGUUCUGUCCAUUCUAGUUGUCGAAAGAGUUUCUUACUAUGUGUCUGAUGCUGAAAUCACCCCAAUUUAAGUGGAUGUCAUUCUACAAAAAAUUUAAUAUCAAGCCUUGCCCUCCUGAGUUUUAUUUCUCCCAAAAGAUUGAUUAUUUGAAUCUUAGUUUGCUGAACUUUGUUAAGGAGAAUCAAGGUAUGUAAUAAAAUCUCUUCUUA